CCUACGGGAGGCAGCAGUGGGGAAUUUUGGACAAUGGGCGCAAGCCUGAUCCAGCCAUGCCGCGUGAGUGAAGAAGGCCUUCGGGUUGUAAAGCUCUUUCGGCAGGAACGAAAUGGUUCGUGCUAAUACCACGGACUGAUGACGGUACCUGAAGAAGAAGCACCGGCUAACUACGUGCCAGCAGCCGCGGUAAUACGUAGGGUGCAGGCGUUAAUCGGAAUUACUGGGCGUAAAGCGUGCGCAGGCGGUUUCUUAAGUCAGAUGUGAAAGCCCCGGGCUUAACCUGGGAACUGCGUUUGAAACUGGGAGACUUGAGUGUGGCAGAGGGGGGUGGAAUUCCACGUGUAGCAGUGAAAUGCGUAGAUAUGUGGAGGAACACCGAUGGCGAAGGCAGCCCCCUGGGUUAACACUGACGCUCAUGCACGAAAGCGUGGGGAGCAAACAGGAUUAGAUACCCUGGUAGUCCACGCCCUAAACUAUGUCAACUGGUUGUCGGGGGAUUAACUCCCUUGGUAACGAAGCUAACGCGUGAAGUUGACCGCCUGGGGAGUACGGCCGCAAGGUUAAAACUAAAUGAAUUGACGG
rnacentral:rRNA from 1 species